CUUCAACCCAGCAGCCACUGUAAGGUGGAAGCCUGCCCAACCUUCAGGCUGGGCUCCCUUUGCAAAAGCUUUCCCAAUACACUGCCCAGAUGGUUGCAGGCAGUUUUAGACUAUGACACUGAAGUGACUUCACUUGGUCUUUUAUUGCCAAUUUUGAUUUAUAUUUAAGGAUGAUGGCUGAGAACAGGCAGGCCAUCAGGGGUCCCCCACCCCAACUCCCACAAUCAAUGCACAAGAAACAGAUUUGUAAAACCUAAUACUGUUCUUCUUUUUCUCUUUUUUUUUUUUUUUGAGACAGAGUCUCGCUCUGUCGCCCAGGCUGGAGUACAGUGGCACCAUCUCAGCUCACUACAAACUCCGCCUCCCGGGUUCAAGCGAUUCUUGUGCCUCAGCCUCCCGAGUAGCUGGGAUUACAAGUGUGUGCCACCGCGCCUGGCUAGUUUUUGUAUUUUUAGUAGAGAUGGGGUUCCACCAUGUUGGCCAGGCUGGUCUCAAACUCCCAACCUCAAGUGAUCCACCCACCUUGGCCUCCCAAAGUGCUGGGAUUACAGGUGUGAGCCACCACACCCAGAAAAACCUAAUACUGUUCCUCCCCAGGUAUGGCCAGGAAGCAGGCUGCUCAAUAAGGACAGGGGACCCAUGGUCAUUCAUCUGUCUGCACAGGAUCAACAACUGCAAACCGCACCUCACGCCAGCCACAUGACACUGAAAGCUGUCUCUUUUCAGAAGAGCUGAUGGCACCUCCUGCAUACUGUCCUUCAGUCCGCGGCCCCAGCAAAGGAGGAUGUCAAUCAGUGACGGGGCAGAGAUAAUCAAGAAAAUGCUUUCGGCUGGGCGCGGUGGCUCACGCCUGUAAUCCCAGCACUUUGGGAGGCUGAGGUGGGCAGAUCACGAGGUCAGGCGUUGGAGACCAGCCUGACCAACAUGGUGAAACACCAUCUCUACUAAAAAUACAAAAAUUAGCCGGGCGUGGUGGCGGGUGCCUGUAAUCCCAGCUACUGGAGAGGCUGAGGCAGGAGAAUCCCUUGAACCUAGGAGGUGAGGUUGCAGUGAGUGGAGAUUGCGCCACUGCACUCCAGCCUGGGUGACAGAGCGAGACUCUGUCUCGGAAAAAAAAAAAAAUGCUUUCAGUGGAAAUGCAUUUAACCAGAACAGACCGUAUCCAGGGAAAGUUUUUUCCCUUAGAUUUCUCAAUCUUGGCUGCGCAUCAGAAUUACUCCAGGAGCUUUAAGAAAUCCUAAUAUUCAGAACAUACCCCAGACCGAUUAGGCCAAAUCCUCCGAAGCGGGAACCCAGGCACUGGUAUGUCAGCUCUUAGGUGAUUUCAGUAUGCAGCUACAGUUGAGAACCACCCGUCAAAACAGAUACCAUUUGACCAGGCAUGGUGUCUCACGCCUGUAAUCCCAACACUUUGGGAGGCUGGGGAGGGAGGAUUACUUGAGCCCCAGGAGUUCGAGACCAGCCUGGGCAACAUGGAAAAACCCCGUCUCCCCUAAAAAUAUAAUAAUUAGGCCAGGUGCAGUAGCUCACACCUGUAAUCCCAACACUUUGGGAGGCCGAGGCAGGCAGAUCAUCUGAGGUCAGGAGUUAGAGACCAGCUUGGCCAACAUGGCAAAACCCCAUCUCUACUAAAAAUAUAAAAAUUAGCCGGAUGUGGUGGCACACACCUGUAAUCCUAGCUACUCAAGAGGCAGAGGCAGGAGAAUCGUUUGAACCCAGGAGGCGGAGGUUAUAGUGAGCCGAGAUUGUGCCACUGUACUCCAGCCUGGGCGACAGAGUGAGACUCCAUCUCAAAAAAAAAAGAAAAAAAAUAUAUAUAUACACACAUACUUGUGUGUGUGUGUAUAUAUAUAUAUAUGUAUCAUAUAUAUGUGUGUGUGUGGGUGCAUGUGUGUGUGAAAUUAGCAUGGCAUGGUGGCACAUGCCUGUAGUCCCAGCUACUCGGGAAGCUGAGGUGGAAGGAUCGCUCGAGCCCAGGAGGUCGAGGCUGCAGUGAGCUGAGAUAGCGCCACUGCACUCCAGCCUGGGCAACAGAGCAAGACCCUGUCUCAAAAAACAAAAAAGAUACUUUUUUUGCUUUGAAAAACCAAUCUAAAAAACUAACCUAUUUAGAUACCAAAUUGCAUAUGAAAUAAAAUCUCAAUUCUCUUUUUAGAAUAAAUAGAUCCACAAAAAUGCUAAGGAAAUAUACUACAACAUUAACGAGGGUUACUUCUGGUGGGAAGAUGAUGGGUGAUACCCAUCUUUUUCACUUCACUUAGUUACUAAAAGAAUAAGCAUCGUCACCUUUAAAAUCAGAAAACAAACACAACUACCUUCCAAAGUUUAAUCAAUCAACUCCUUAGAAGUGAAAUCUAACAAUCACUUCAAAUACUCUAAAAUUCGACAGAGUAAAAUCUCAAAUUACUUUCU
rnacentral:lncRNA from 1 species